rnacentral:rRNA from 1 species
GACGAACGCUGGCGGCGUGCUUAACACAUGCAAGUCGAACGAAGUGGCGAACGGGUGAGUAACGCGUAAUCAACCUGCCCUUCAGAGGGGGACAACAGUUGGAAACGACUGCUAAUACCGCAUACUGAAGGAGGGGAUUGCGUCUGAUUAGCUAGUUGUAGGGGUAACGGCCCACCAAGGCGAUGAGCAGUAGCCGGUCUGAGAGGAGGAACGGCCACAUUGGGACUGAGACACGGGCCAGACGCCUAAGGGAGGCAGCAGUGGGGAAUCUUUCGCAAUGGGCGAAAGGCUGACGGAGCAACGGCGCGUGAGGGAAGAAGGUUUUCGGAUCGUAAAGCUCUGUUGUUAAGGAAGCGGUACUUAACCAGAAAGGGACGGCUAACUACGUGCCAGCAGCCGCGGUAAUAC